rnacentral:rRNA from 1 species
CUCGGUGACCAUACCGCGGGGGCCACACCCGUUCCCAUCCCGAACACGGUCGUUAAGCCCCGCAGGGCCAAUGCUACUGCUCGGUUCGCUGAGUGGGAAAGUAGGUCGUCGCCGGGU